rnacentral:other from 1 species
UAUUCCCUGUCAUAUUCGAUAACGACCGGGAUAUUUCUUGAGCCGUAAUUCACAUCCCCGGGGACCACAUCGCGGUGUUGUGAGCAGGUCCACCUUGUAGUGGAAAGCCUAAUGCAUCGCUCGCGGUGCCCACUUGAACCCCAGGUUCAAGACGAAGGUCCAGUCGGUAUAGAUGGGGAAUAC